AGAGAGGUUAUCCUUCGUGUGUUUGUAUGAUUGUAAUGAAUAUGCAAGGACAAGCUCUCUCC
rnacentral:pre_miRNA from 1 species